CACCGCGGUUAAACGAGAGGCCCGAGUUGACAAGCAUCGGCGUAAAGUGUGGCUAGGGAGAAACCAAAUAAACUAAAGCCAAAUGCCCCUCUUGCUGUUAUACGCGCCCGGGGACCAGAAGCCCGACUACGAAAGUGGCUUUAUUACACCUGAACCCACGAAAGCUAUGGCA
rnacentral:rRNA from 1 species